GACUUAGUGGUCUAGCGGUUAUGAUAUCUGUCUAACAUGAAAGACAUAUUGAAAAUGUUCAUGUCCACAGAUGGUUCCAGGUUCAAUUCCUGGCUAAGUCA